AAUCUCUAUUGGGGAUUGGCCUAUGGGGUUCCUCUAUGUCAAUCCGUUAGUAGAAAGACGGCGUCGUGGUUUCAAAUGUCACACAGCUUUGUGUUUAAGAUUGGACAGACACCAAACUAGGACAGCUGUGGUAACCAACUUUAUUGCAAAUAAAGGAUUUUUUUUUUUGCUUGUUAAAGAACUCAAAGUUUUUGGUCGGUUUUCUUUUUUUUUUUUGUUGCGAGAGGUGAUUUUCUCUUCAAGAAUUGGCACAUUCCUUCCGGGGUCACCACAGAGAACCACCUUUCACUGAUUCGCAAAAGUGGUUUGGCAGAGAGUUUUACACCGGUAGUCUUCCUGACACAACCCUGAAUUGUAUCCGGGCUGGGGGCCGGCACAGGGAGACCCAGAUCGGGCCAUCUUAUGGCUGCAUAACUUUCCUUUAUAAUGGUUCCAACUCUCUCUCUUAUUGAGUUUUUAUGUUGGACUUUUGCAGGGCUGGCCUUUAUCACCGGUUCUGUUCAUAGUUUUCAUGUAGAGAAUGUCUAGGCGCAGCCAGAGGCCGGAGGGGGUCUGGUUUGGGGACCACAGGAUUUCGUCUCUGCUCUUUGCAGAUGAUGUUGUCCUGUUGGCUUCAUCGAGCCAGGACCUCCAGCGUGCAUUGGAGCGGUUUGCCCAUCUCGGUGUUCCCCCAGAAGAGCUGGAGGAAGUGGCCGGGGCGAAUGAAGUCUGGGCAUCUUUGACUAGACUGCUGCCCCCGCGACCCGGUCCCGGAUAAGCGCAGGAAGAUGGAUGGAUGGAUGGCAGAAGAAAUUAAUAAAUGUUUUUGUGUAUAAACAUUUAUUAAAAUGAACGUUUUUGUGCUUUUCUGUGUGGAUAUGUUGGCUGAUACUAUUCUGAAUAUAACUUCAAUCCAAAAAGAACACUUGCUGACAUUAAGUGGCAUAAUGGAGACGAGGUGGAGCAGAAUUCUGGACACCAUUCUCCCUAAGUUUCUUACAGAAAUAAACCUUUAUAAGUA